rnacentral:rRNA from 1 species
ACGGAAUAGAUACCCAGGUAGUCCACGCCCUAAACGAUGUCUACUAGUUGUCGGGUCUUAAUUGACUUGGUAAACGCAGCUAAACGCGUGAAGUAGACCGCCUGGGGAGUACGGUCGCAAGAUUAAAACUCAAAGGAAUUGACGGGGACCCGCACAAGCGGUGGAUGAUGUGGAUUAAUUCGAUGCAACGCGAAAAACCUUACCUACCCUUGACAUGUCAGGAACCCUCGAGAGAUUGAGGGGUGCCCGAAAGGGAGCCUGAACACAGGUGCUGCAUGGCUGUCGUCAGCUCGUGUCGUGAGAUGUUGGGUUAAGUCCCGCAACGAGCGCAACCCUUGUCAUUAGUUGCUACGAAAGGGCACUCUAAUGAGACUGCCGGUGACAAACCGGAGGAAGGUGGGGAUGACGUCAAGUCCUCAUGGCCCUUAUGGGUAGGGCUUCACACGUCAUACAAUGGUACAUACAGAGGGCCGCAACCCGCGAGGGGGCGUAAUCCACAAGUAGUAUCGUAGUCCGGUAGUCGCAGUCUGC